rnacentral:rRNA from 1 species
AUUGAACGCUGGCGGCAUGCCUUACACAUGCAAGUCGAACGGCAGCACGGGAGCAAUCCUGGUGGCGAGUGGCGAGCGGGUGAGUAAUAUAUCGGAACGUGCCCAGUCGUGGGGGAUAACGUAGCGAAAGCUACGCUAAUACCGCAUACGAUCUACGGAUGAAAGCGGGGGAUCGCAAGACCUCGCGCGAUUGGAGCGGCCGAUAUCAGAUUAGGUAGUUGGUGAGGUAAAGGCUCACCAAGCCGACGAUCUGUAGCUGGUCUGAGAGGACGACCAGCCACACUGGGACUGAGACACGGCCCAGACUCCUACGGGAGGCAGCAGUGGGGAAUUUUUGGACAAUGGGCGCAAGCCUGAUCCAGCAAUGCCGCGUGCAGGAUGAAGGCCUCGGUUGUAACU